rnacentral:rRNA from 1 species
AGAGUUUGAUCAUGGCUCAGAACGAACGUUGGCGGCGUGGAUUAGGCAUGCAAGUCGAGCGAAUCCCCCGCAAGGGGGGGAAGCGGCGUAAGGGGCAGUAGGGCGUGGGCAACCCACCCCGGGGACCGGGGUAGCCCGUCGAGAGACGGGGUAAUACCGGGCGACGCCGCCGCAGGGCAUCCUGCGGCGGCCAGAGGUCCGCCGCCCCGGGCGGGGCCCACGUGGUAUCAGCUAGUUGGUGGGGUGACGGCCCACCAAGGCGGAGACGCCUAGCGGGUGUGAGAGCACGACCCGCGCCACUGGCACUGAGACACUGGCCAGACACCUACGGGUGGCUGCAGUCGAGGAUCUUCGGCAAUGGGGGCAACCCUGACCGAGCGACGCCGCGUGGGCGACGAAGGCCUUCGGGUUGUAAAGCCCUGUCGAGGGGGAGGAAAGCCCGCGAGGGUGUGACCCAUCCCUGGAGGAAGCACGGGCUAAGUUCGUGCCAGCAGCCGCGGUAAGACGAACCGUGCGAACGUUGUUCGGAAUCACUGGGCUUAAAGGGCGCGUAGGCGGGCUGGCAAGUCCGGGGUGAAAUCCUCCCGCUCAACGGGAGAACGGCCUCGGAUACUGCCGGCCUCGAGGCGGGUAGGGGCGGGCGGAACUCUGGGUGGAGCGGUGAAAUGCGUUGAUAUCCAGAGGAACUCCGGUGGCGAAGGCGGCCCGCUGGACCCGGUCUGACGCUGAGGCGCGAAAGCCAGGGGAGCGAACGGGAUUAGAUACCCCUGUAGUCC